rnacentral:lncRNA from 1 species
GACACCAGCAUACCAUUUUUAGCCCCACUCACCCAAGGCGUAAAAACGUGAUUGAAGAUACGUCUGAAUCGCCGUCACAUCACACUGACUCAUCCCAAUCAACGCUUUCAAGCAGAUCGACUUCGUCCACUGACACCAGUGACUCUACUACGUCCACGUCCUCCGAAAGUGCGGGAAAUGUCAAGGCUGCGAAAAAGAACAAACUCAAAUCCUGGUUCAUGAAAAUAUUUGGGUUGAAAUCAAGGAAGGAAGGAAGGAAAUGUGGAGUCUUUGAGAGAAACCGUGAAAAGAAGGAGAAGGAUGGUGGGCGGAACGGCUUCCAGACUCUCACCCGUCAGGCGAUCGAAACACACCCGAGACUGAGCUCCAGUCAAUCAUCCACACCAGCCGUUCACUUGAAAAGCCUGGUCAACUCUCCAACCAUCGACAAAUCGUUGUGAUCGCUUUUCGGAUGCCUGUUCGCACUGCUCAGCCUGCUCCAGCGAGACCGUGUUUGUGUGCUUCCAGCACCACUUGGUUCUGUUCUCUAACCAGAUUCUUAGUAAAACGAUUCUCAAUCUCACCUGGUUGUGUGUGUCUGCUUUUGGGGUCUUGAUUUGUGUCUGCAGUGGUUGAGGUGGACGCCACGGACGUGGGGGUUGGGGCCGUGCCGUACCUGUGCUCUGGCCCUGACAAUCGGUUACAUCCCUGUGCCUUUUAUUCCCGCCGUUUUACCACCGCUGAGGCCAACUACGAUGUGGGGAACCAUGAGUUUCUGCCAAUAAAAUUGGCAUUGGAAGAGUGGCGACACCUGCUGAAGGGGGCCAAACAAUCUUUUGUGGUCUGGACCGACCGCAAGAAUCUCGCCUACAUCCAGUCAGCAAAGAGGCUAAAUUCUCUUCAGGCCAGGCAGAAGAGCCUGAUGGUGGAGGAGGCCUGAUGGUGGAGGUGACCUGAUAAUGGGACAGGGCCUGGCGGUGGAGGUGGCCUGAUAAUGGGACAGGGCCUGACGGUGGAGGUGGCCUCUAAUGAAAGAGCCUGACAGUGGAGGAGCCCUGAUGGUGGAGGUGGACUCCCAUAUAACAUUGUACCUACUUCAUAGACCAAUAUAAAAAAAUAGUUGUGCUAUUUUUUUUUACCUCAAUUUGUUUUAAAAUUGAAAUGUGAAAUAUUCAAUUUUCUUAUAUAUUGUUUAUUGAAUAAAUGUAAUGCAAAUAUAUGAGUUUGAGG